rnacentral:rRNA from 1 species
AAGAAACAACCGGGAUUGCCCUAGUAACUGCGAGUGAAGCGGCAACAGCUCAAAUUUGAAAUCUGGCUUCCAUUGCGGGGUCCGAGUUGUAAUUUGCAGAAGAAGCUUCAGGUGCGGCCCUGGCCCAAGUUCCUUGGAACAGGAAGUCGUAGAGGGUGAGAACCCCGUCCGGUCGGGCGCCGAUGCCUACGUGAAGCUCUUUCGACGAGUCGAGUUGUUUGGGAAUGCAGCUCUAAAUGGGUGGUAAAUUUCAUCUAAAGCUAAAUAUUGGCCAGAGACCGAUAGCGCACAAGUAGAGUGAUCGAAAGAUGAAAAGCACUUUGGAAAGGGAGUUAAAAAGUACGUGAAAUUGUUGAAAGGGAAGCGCUUGCCCCCAGACUUGAGCCGGGAGGAUCAUUGGGGAGUCUGCUCCCCAGUGCGCUCCCUCGGCACAGGCCAGCAUCGGUUCAGGUGGCGGGAAAAAGGCUACAGGAAAGUGGCCCUCUUUUUUGGGGGGGGUGUUAUAGCCUGUAGCGUCAUGCCGCCCGCCUGGACCGAGGACCGCGCUUCGGCUAGGAUGUUGGCGUAAUGGUGGUAAGCGACCCGUCUUGAAACACGGACCAAGGAGUCUAACAUCUAUGCGAGUGUUUGGGUGUCAAACCCAUACGCACAAUGAAAGUGAAUAUGUAGGUGAGAGCUUCGGCGCAUCAUCGACCGAUCCGGAAGUCUUCUGAUGGAUUUGAGUAAUAGCAUAGCUGUUGGGACCCGAAAGAUGGUGAACUAUGCGUGGGUAGGGUGAAGCCAGAGGAAACUCUGGUGGAGGCUCGCAGCGGUUCUGACGUGCAAAUCGAUCGUCAAAUCUGCGCAUAGGGGCGAAAGACUAAUCGAACCAUCUAGUAGCUGGUUCCUGCCGAGUUUCCCCCCAGAAAAAA